rnacentral:misc_RNA from 1 species
GAUGAAGAACGUAGCGAAAUGCGAUAAGUAGUGUGAAUUGCAGAAUUCAGUGAAUCAUCGAAUCUUUGAACGCACAUUGCGCCGCUCGGUAUUCCGUGGGGCAUGCCUGUUCGAGCGUCAUUUAACCCCUCAAGCCUAGCUUGGUAUUGGGUGCUUGUCCCGCCUCUCGCGCGGCGACUCACCUCAAAGUCAUUGGCAGCCCGCAUCUCGCCGGCCGUGAGCGCAGCACAGACGCGCUCUUGGCAACGACGGAUCGGCUCUCCAAAAGCUUAUUUCAACCACUGACCUCGGAUCAGGUAGGGAUACCCGCUGAACUUAAGCAUAUCAAUAAGCGGAGGA